rnacentral:rRNA from 1 species
UGCAAGUCGAACGAAGUAGCAAUACUUAGUGGCAGACGGGUGAGUAACAUGUGGGUAUCUUCCCUUUGGCCUGGAAUAACACGAGGAAACUUGUGCUAAUACCUCAUAAGUCUUUACGGAGAAAGCUUUAUGCGCCAUUGGAUGAGCCUGCACUUGAUUAGUUUGUUGGUGGGGUAAUGGCCUACCAAGACUGUGAUCAAUAGCUGAUUUGAGAGGAUGAUCAGCCACAUUGGGACUGAGACACGGCCCAAACUCCUACGGGAGGCAGCAGUGGGGAAUCUUGCACAAUGGAGGAAACUCUGAUGCAGCGAUGCCGCGUGAGUGAAGAAGGCCUUUGGGUUGUAAAGCUCUUUCGUCGGGGAAGAAAAUGACUGUACCCGAAUAAGAAGGUCCGGCUAACUUCGUGCCAGCAGCCGCGGUAAUACGAAGGGACCUAGCGUAGUUCGGAAUUACUGGGCUUAAAGAGUUCGUAGGUGGUUGAAAAAGUUGGUGGUGAAAUCCCAGAGCUUAACUCUGGAACUGCCAUCAAAACUUUUCAGCUAGAGUAUGAUAGAGGAAAGCAGAAUUUCUAGUGUAGAGGUGAAAUUCGUAGAUAUUAGAAAGAAUACCAAUUGCGAAGGCAGCUUUCUGGAUCAUUACUGACACUGAGGAACGAAAGCAUGGGUAGCGAAGAGGAUU